UACGGAGGGUGCAAGCGUUAAUCGGAAUUACUGGGCGUAAAGCGCACGCAGGUGGCUGAGAAAGUCGAUUGUGAAAGCCCUGGGCUUAACCUGGGAAUUGCAGUCGAAACUACUCGGCUAGAGUAUGGGAGAGGGUAGUGGAAUUCCCGGUGUAGCGGUGAAAUGCGUAGAUAUCGGGAGGAACAUCAGUGGCGAAGGCGGCGACCUGGACGGACAUUGACGCUGAGACGCGAAAGCGUGGGGAGCAAACAGG
rnacentral:rRNA from 1 species